UCGGUUGAUGUUGUAGCAAAACAAGUGCACAAGAGUGAAGAUUUAUUUCAAGUUCGGACGUGUUUUCAAACGAAAGAUAUUUAACUUAUUGCAGAAACGUUAAAUAUUGAGCAGCAGUUGUCAUCAGUUAUAAAUAAACAUAAAUUACACGCAGUGCAAAAGUCUGUACACGCAAUUAUAUUCAACCGUUCAACGCAAAGCAACAUGGCUCCCGUGGUGGACAACAACCAGUUUGAACUUCCGACCGCGCUGGAAACUCCCAGCAAAAAGAGAAAACGCAAUGCGGAGACGAACCCAUUUCUGUCGUUUUCUGAUCAAACGUUUAGCAUCCCAUCGUCGACGCCUAUCCACAAUAAGCAGAUCGAUGGCAGUUCCUUCGAGAAUCCGAGCUUCCGGUUUGGUGUGAACAACAAUGGAAGCAACAAGGAAAACAUCAACAUAUUUUCCGACUCGUGCAUGGAGGUGAAAUCGAUCGCUGAGCUGGCGGCGGAGAAUCCUUUCGAAGUGAUUCGGAAGCCUCCGAAUAAGA